GAACGAAAUAGACAGAUGACGAAGGGCUGGACAAUCGAUCCAGUAGAAGAAGAACGAACCACAUCACCAAGGCUGAAAAUGAAGAGCUUCUAAGGAAAAAUGAAACAAUGGCGAUGAAUUGAGGAAUUAAUGAGCUCAAAUGAGAGUGUGGCCAAAAAAGUUCGAGAGUUAUCGAAGAGAAAUGAAGAGUUGGUGAAGUCCUUAACAUUGUCUGAAGCCAAAGUGUUGAAGCUCCAGCUUUUGUUGAUUGUUAUGUUAGUUAUGGGCUUUGCCAUUUGUUUUAAGGGUUUCAGGUUUGUGAACAAAAGAAACAUAUUGUUCUUGCAAUAAGGUCUCUGUUGUAACAUUUGCAGUUUAUUUAGGCUUGAAAUUGAAUACAGAUUAUGUCGAA